AGGCUGGAGUGCAAUGGCACGAUCUCAGCUCACUGCCACCUCCACCUCUUGGGUUCAAGCGAUUCUCCUUCCUCAGCCUCCCGAGUAGCUGGGAUUACAGGCAUCCGCCACCAUGCCUGGCUAAUUUUUGUAGUUUUAGUAGAGACGAGGUUUUGCCAUGUUGGCCAGGCUGGUCUCGAACUCCUGACCUCAGGUGAUCCACCCGCCUCAGCCUCCCAAAGUUCUGGGAUGACAGGUGUGAGUCACCGCGCCCGGCCAGAGAAAAGGACAUUUUAAAUGCAUGUGUGUUAUUACAACUGCAGCCACUGCCGGCCAUUCCCACCAGCAAUCAACCAAAAAGCAUCAGAGCCUCUGUGAAGCUGGAUAUUUUUUACAUCACUUUAAAUAAUUUACAAAAAGCUACAAAAAUCAUAUUUACCAGGACACGUCUGUUAAAUAAAAGUUUCAUGUUGGUGUACAUAUAUACAGGGCUAUGUAUAAUAGACUGUUUCCCCUCCUUGCAGCCAUGGAACCAUCACAUACACGCACAGCUACACGCACAGCUACGCCGCUUUCCACGAAUGCACGGAACCCAGGACGCGAACCCACAGCUCGAGGGCUUAGACCUUCACUACUGAGCUGCCGCCACUGUCCUCCGUGGAGGUGUCACUGAAGUCACUGGCGUCACUGCCCAAGGCGUCCUGCUCCUGGUCAUCCCUGUUGAUGGCCCUUCGUCGAUACCUCAGGUCUAAAAUGCUUUCCUCCGAGCCCGAG
rnacentral:lncRNA from 1 species